rnacentral:rRNA from 1 species
GAUGAACGCUAGCUACAGGCCUAACACAUGCAAGUCGAGGGGAAACGGCAUCGAAAGCUUGCUUUUGAUGGGCGUCGACCGGCGCACGGGUGAGGAACGCGUCUCCAACCUGCCCAUUACUUGGGAAUAACCUUGCGAAAGUAAGACUAAUGCCCAAUGACAUCCCACGAAGGCAUCCGAAUGGGACUAAAGAUUUAUCGGUGAUGGAUGGGGAUGCGUCUGAUUAGCUUGUUGGCGGGGUGACGGCUAACCAAGGCAACGAUGAGUAGGGGUUCUGAGAGGAAGGUCCCCCAGAAUGGAACUGAGGCACAGACCAAACUGCUACGGGGGGGAGCAGUAUGGAAUAUUAGGCAAGAAACGAGGGCCUAGACCAGCCAAGUGGGGUACAGGAUGACGGGGCUAUGGGUUGUAAACUGCUUUUGUAAGGGGAUAAAGUGGGUCACGUGUGACUUUUUGCAGGUACCUUAUGAAUAAGCACCGGCUAAUUCCGUG